GUGCAUGCCAAGCUCAGAUAAGAGCUGAGCUCUCCCUUUUCUUAGGCUCCUCUACUUUAGUGUCUCUUAGCUUGUUGGGGUGUUUAAACCCUACAAAAAUCCUUUCUGAAACAAAAAUAAAUAAAAGAAUAAAAUGAGCAAUUAAUAUUUCCUAGGGCUGGGUGUGAUGGUGCACACCUGUAAUCCCAGCACUCAGGAGACUGAGGCAGGAGGAUUGCCAUGAGUUCGAGGCCAGCCUGGGCUGCAUACAACCACUGAGCACCUACUGUGUACCAGUCAUUGUUCUAAGAGAAUACAACAAUGAACAAAAUAGACAAAACUUCCUGCGAUUCCUGAGCCCACCGUUCUGUGGAGAGGGAGAGAGACAGUAAGCAAAGAAGGAAACAAAUACAGGAUCUGUCAGCUGGAGGUGCAGUCCCUGGGUCUGCGGCUCCUGGACGGAGGUGCUUUCUUAUGUUCUCCCAGGCUUGUGGCCAAGGUACAGGAUACCUGCCUGGGGUGUGGCCAGGUCAAUGCCCACCUCACUGAGGAACUGUGGCUCAGUGACUAGUGGCCACAGAUGCGGUGGUGUCUUCAUCCCAUGUGGCUCUGCCAAAUGGUUUGUGGCUCUUUUCUGAGUGUGUAGUUGGCAGACAGAGUCUCAGAAUGACUCAAGAUACGCUAAAAAUACUUUUGGCCAUCUACCACCUGGGCCAUUAACCUCCUAACCUCAUACCCUUCCUCUCUUCUCCUCUACUGGUGCUUUUCCUGUACCCUGGACAUUUUGGACUUUUACUUUUAAUUAAAACAACACAUGGACAGUCCUGCAAGACUUACAACAAAAAUACAAGAUAAACCAGCAACUACCUGUCCCCAGACCUGC
ensembl:lncRNA